rnacentral:rRNA from 1 species
AUGGACGAAACUCUGACGCAGCCACGCCGCGUGCCGGAAGACGGCCCUAUGGGUUGUAAACGGCUUUUGAAUGGGAAGAACGCCCGGGUUUCGAUCUGGGGUGACGGUCCCAUUUGAAUAAGCACCGGCUAACUCCGUGCCAGCAGCCGCUGUUUUACGGAUGGAGCCAGCGUUGUCCGGAAUCAUCGGGUGUAAAGGGCGCGUAUGCGGGAGCCUAAGUCUGCGGCGAAAUCUUGCCGCUUAACGGUGAAAUGGCCAUGGAUACUGGGUUUCUUGAGUACAGAAGAGGCAGGUGGAAUUCGUAGUGUAGCGGUGAAAUGCAUAGAUAUUACGAAGAACACCAGUGGCGAAGGCGGCCUGCUGGGCUGUAACUGACGCUGAGGCACGAAAGCGUGGGGAGCGAACAGGAUUAGAUACCCUGGUAGUCCACGCUGUAAACGAUGUAUGCUAGUUGUUGGCUCUUUGGGGCCAGUGACGCAGUUAACGCAGUAAGCAUACCACCUGGGGAGUACGUCGGCACGAAUGAAACUAAA